CGAGUCACGAGAGGUUCGAUACUGGCUCAGGAUGAACGCUAGCGACAGGCUAACACAUGCAAGUCGAGGGCAGCAUAAAGUAGCAAUACUUGGUGGCGACCGGCGCACGGGUGAGUAACGCGUAUGCAACCUACCUAUCAGAGGGGAAUAACCCGGCGAAAGUCGGACUAAUACCGCAUAAAACAGGGGCACCGCAUGGUGAUAUUUGUUAAAGAAUUCGCUGAUAGAUGGGCAUGCGUUCCAUUAGGUAGUUGGUGAGGUAACGGCUCACCAAGCCGACGAUGGAUAGGGGAACUGAGAGGUUGGUCCCCCCACACUGGUACUGAGACACGGACCAGACUCCUACGGGAGGCAGCAGUGAGGAAUAUUGGUCAAUGGGCGGGAGCCUGAACCAGCCAAGUCGCGUUGAAGGAAGAAGGAUCUAUGGUUCGUAAACUUCUUUUGCAGGGGAAUAAAGUGCAGGACGUGUCCUGUUUUGUAUGUACCCUGAGAAUAAGGAUCGGCUAACUCCGUGCCAGCCGCCGC
rnacentral:rRNA from 1 species